UACACCGAUGAGCUUUGAGGAUGUUAUUUCACUACUGAAAUGAGCCUACAUGGAAAGACACAUGAUUCUACCAAUGCGAGGUACUGAGAGCAUUCAAAUUCAGAGGUUCAGAAAGUCGAAUGGUAGGAGCCGGUGGCUGGGGGAAGGUUGCCAUGAGAAGUUGUGGUUUCCUGGGUGUCGAGUUUCAGUUUUACCAGAUGCAGAGUCUUGGAGAUGGGCGGUGGUGAUGUGCGCACACGAUGAAUGGACGCAGCACUCUAAAAUUACUAAUAAGGCGGUGGAGAUGGAGUGGCCAACAACAGAGAGAAGGCUUGACUCUCCUGGCACCGGCUUUUCUAGGUUGCAGACAGAACAAAAUCUCUCAUCAGAGUAUAUUUACUUCUUGUCAUGGUUUGGAUCUGGAAUGUCCCCCCAAGGCUCCUGUGUUGAAGCAAUUGCCAUCAGGAAAGCUCAGCUGGGAACCAGUUGGACCAGAAGAAGCCUGGAGAACUAGCAACCAGGAGUCAGCUUCUCUCUGCAACACAGAGCAGAGCUGGGAAAGGGCCGGGAAUGGAUCCAAGUGCAGACAGGCUCAGGACCAGGACUGCAUCCAUUAGGAGACAGCAAAGAAGGGACCUCUAGAGGGGAUCAUUGGAGGCCGCAGAGAGACCAGGAAACAGAGAAACAGGACUCCUUGUCCCCCGGUGCUGGUCACGUUGUGCAUUCUGUACAGCAGACCAAAUAAGGUGGCUCUGACUGCAGUGAAAUUUCCAAGAGAGAGGAAAUGAUCAAAGAAAGAAACAGAACCAUUUCUGACACCAUGGAUAUUAAGGGGGGAAAAAAAAUUGAAAAUUUUUUUUUUCUAUAAGAAUAGACCUAAAAAAAUAUAUAUAUAUCUGGAACACUCCCAACAAAUUACCAUCAUUCCUCCUUGAAUUUUGAUGAUCUGUAUUGUUUGAAUUUUUUUUUUAAAUGAUA